rnacentral:lncRNA from 1 species
ACCGGAGGCGAGUCGAUCUACGGCGCCAAGUUCGCCGACGAGAACUUCGUCAAGAAGCACACCGGCCCCGGAAUCCUCUCCAUGGCGAAUGCGGGCCCCGGGACCAACGGAUCUCAGUUCUUCAUCUGCACCGCCAAGACUGAGUGGCUCGAUGGCAAGCACGUCGUGUUCGGCCAGGUCGUUGAGGGCCUCGAUGUCGUCAAGAACAUCGAGAAGGUCGGGUCCGGCUCUGGAAGGUGCUCCAAGCCUGUUGUUGUUGCCGACUGUGGCCAGCUCUGUUAGACGACGUGUCGUUUCUGUGAUCGGCGAUCGUCGUUUCUCUGUUAUGAUGGGUCCUCUUUUCCUUCUAUGUUUAAAUUUCGAAUUUUAAAUUUCUGUUUUUCGUCGUAGAUGGGUCGCUGUCUCUAUCUCUAGUGUUUGAGUUUCUUAUGGUAUUGGGGCCUUUUGGUGGCC